CAGGGGGUAGUUUAGGCAGAAUCUCAGCUUUGGGAGCUGAGGGCGGGAGUUUAAUUCUCCUUCCCUUGA
rnacentral:tRNA from 1 species